CAAAUGAUUUAUACUUUCACUUUUGAUACUUAAGUAUAUUUUAGCGAUUACAUUUACUUUUGAUAUGUAAGUACAUUUAAAGCCAAAUAUUUUUACUCAAGUAUUAUUUUACUAGGUGACUUCCACUUUUACUUGAGUCAUUUUAUUUUAAGGUAUCUUUACUUUUACUCAAGUAUGACAAAUGGGUACUUUUCCCACCACUGCUAAUUCAUACAGGAAAAAGGAACAUUUGACAGAUCUCACUUCUAAUUGUAGGCAUGCACUCAGUGUUGCCUUUAUUUGUUAGAGAGACCCAUUCAGACUGGCAAUUAAUCUACUGCUGGCCUGCCUGGCUGACUAUCUCCUUGGUAACAGAAUGUAAACAUUCAAGCUACUUAGGAGGGGAGGCAUGCACACUGCACAGGGAAGGAGAGCAGACAUACACUGUAGAAGCUAUUUAAACUAGGAGGAAGUUUUCUUAUAAAACAGCUGCUAUUAAAAUGCAGAACACUAUAUUUGUUUGUCAAAGAACAUUGGAGUAAAUGUGAAGCAUGAAAAUUGGCCAAAGGAUUGAGUAAGAUAUUUCAAAGUUUGAGACCAAGAAUACUGAAGGACCCUUGUGGAUGAUGGAGAGUAGUGAGAGAAGGGUUCUGGGGGCUGUUUUUGAGGUGCUGAGGGGAGAGCUGGAGGUGGUAGGCCUGGGGCUGGAGGAGCUGGGAGAUUGUCCCUGGGAGGAGGUGGAUGUUCCCCGCAUGGAGGGGGGCUGUACUCCCCUUAUCACUGCCUGCCAGAGGGGCUUGACUGAGGUUGUACACUUCCUUCUGAAAAGAGGAGCCGAUGUGACUCUGUGCAACCAUAGCAACCAGACACCACUGCAUGUGAGUCUGCCAGUCCUCCAGGGGGUGCUGUUAUCAGCCAUGUUCAGGGCUCUGCCCCACCAGACCCAGCUCCUCCAGGCUGCUUGGCAGGGAGACCUCCACACCCUGCAGCACCUUCUGGUAAGUCCGCCUCCCCCCAAAACUCCUUUACAACGCCCCACCAUAGACCACACACACACGCGCACAAGCACACACCAACCGCGCACACAGUCACUGCCACCGCCACUGAUAUCACUCCCAACGCCCUUUACAUUGUGUAACUGGAAAUGUGACACACAGCAUCAGGUGCUUGUCUAACAACAGGGUAGGCUAGAGUUUAGAUUAGCACAAAGGACAGCAUUGUAUGGAUGCAGCCGAAGCAGCUAUGAGCAUUCCAUCUGUAAUCAUCUCCAGGACAUUUCUCAUUUGACCUUUGUUCGUAAUGUGUAACUCUCAGGCACCAGUGCUGAGCCUAUAUCUCUAUGUCUGUGUUGCAGGCCCAGACUGACCUAGUGGACGUGAACACUCAGAACCGCGACGGGCUGACCCCUCUAAUGCUGGCUGUGAGGGACGUCGACUUGUUUGAGGAGCUGGACGUCCGGUUGCCAUGGGAAUACAGACCUGUGGAGGUGGUCAGGGAACUGCUGGCUCUCUCAGCGUAAGGAAACCUGCAGCAAUGACAAUAUCACUUUGGUUUUGUUAUUACAACAGCCUAAAACAUUACAUUAUUACAGAACCUUAUUGCAAAAUGACCUUAUUAUUACUGCAAUACAAUUUUAUUACAAUCUUACAACAUAAUAAUAUAUUCCACCUCCCAAGCUAACAACUUCCUUGUUCCAUAACAGCACUCACAAAUACUUUUUCACAUUGCCCCUGCCUUUUCAUUGGUCUAUACGCCGCCUUCCGCUCUAUAAAUUAUGUUAAUUAUUCUCCCUCUUUCAAACAGUGACCUGGGGGUGUGUGACGUCAACGGCUGUUCUGCUCUUCACCAUGCUGCACAGAUAGAGAGCCCCCUGAAAGACGAACUCAUCCACAUGAUGGUUGAGUCCCUCAGACAGCCAGGUAUUACAUGACUUUCAACCAAGAUGGUCAGACAAAUCCAACAUAACACAACUCAGAUGUUUGGUAUGGUUUGAUAUAUUCUGUUUACUUUUGAGGAUAUUCCAGGGAAAUACUUCUCUAUCCAAGUACAAACCAUGUGAUCUGUUGGUUAUACACAUACUAGUACCACACCAAAUCUGCUUGUUUGUGGCAUUUCGUUCUUAUGACAUCACAGCACUCAGGUCAUGUACAACCUGAUGCCUUUAAAGUUUUCAAAUCGAUCCUGACAGAAAUGCAAUACAGAUUUGACUUAUCUAUUAGCUUAGUGUAUAGCACAGGAGGCUGCUGAGGGGAGAACUGCUCAUAAUAAUGGCAGAAACAGCACAAAUGGAAUGCCAUUAAACACAUGGAAACCAUGUCUCUGAUACCAUCCCACGUAUUCCGCUCCAGCCAUUAUCAUGAGCCCCUUCUGCCCAAUUAAGGUGCCACAAACCUCCUGUGGUGAAUAGUAUUGAUUUAGUCGAUCCGUGCAGUGUGUACUUGCGUAAUCAAAUGUUUUCCUGAGCUUGGAGGAGGGGUCAAAGCCAGCACUCAUAUGGGAAAUCCUGGUGAAUUCCUGAGGGGCUGAGUGUGUGAGAGGGCCUUGUUUCUUCUUGUGCUCACUGACUCCACACCUCCGUCUCAUU
rnacentral:lncRNA from 13 species